UAAUUUUCAAUAAUUAAAUUUUUGCGAUUCUUGAUUAAGGAUUAAUUAGAUAGAAUAGUUCUAAGCAUGGAAUAUAUACUUUGAAAACAUGAAUUCAACAUUCAAGUAUUUAUCGUGCCGGUUACGUCUACGAUAAAUCAAAAAUCGAAACAGCCCAUGCAUCAAUAAAUAUAAACCGUACAAGAUCUAUCUAACAAAUAAGUAUGCAAGAACCAAGAGCAUA
rnacentral:lncRNA from 1 species